AAACGGGGAGCUUUUUUGAAAGGCUGAGAGGAAGCGUGAGGCUUCGACCCAUUUACCUGAUUUGGAUAAUGCCAACGUAGGGAUUAUA
rnacentral:ncRNA from 1 species